CGCUAGCGGCGCGCCUAAGGUAUGCAAGUCGAACGGACCCGCAAGGGUUAGUGGCGAACGGUCGAGUAACACGUAGACAACCUCUCUCCCAGUGGGGGAUAACCCCGCGAAAGCGGAGCUAAUACCGCAUGUGGUGGCCUUUCUCCGGAAGGGUUUACUAAAGGAGCAAUUCGCUGGGAGGUGGGUCUGCGGCCUAUCAGGUAGUUGGGGGGGUAUCGGCCCACCAAGCCGACGACGGGUAGCUGGUCUGAGAGGAUGAUCAGCCGGACGGGGACUGAGACUCGGCCCCGACUCCUUUGGGAGGCAGCAAUGAGGUAUCUUGCACAAUGGGGGAAACCCUGAUGCAGCGACGCCGCGUGGGUGAGGAAGUUUUUUGGAAUGUAAAGCCCUUUUCACCGGGACGAACACAAUGACGGUACCGGUGGAAUAAGCCCCGGCU
rnacentral:rRNA from 1 species